UUUACUUAUUUGGGGGGGUGGGGGGGGUGGUAGGACAAGGUCUUAGAGAGCUCAGGCUGGUUUCAGAUGCCAGGUAGCUGGGAGUCUGGGCCUGUUCUGUUUGUUUAGCUACAGAAUCCAUUCUGUAGUUCUGGGUGGCCUUAAAUUUAGCAAUCAUCUCAUCUCGUCUCUUUCUCUAGAGUACUGGAGUUAGAGACAUGGCUAACACAUUUAGCUUUUUCCCCCAGUAUUAACUUUUUUAGCUGGGAGUGGUGGCGCCUUUAAUCCCAGUACUGAGGAGGCAGAAGCAGGGAGACCUCAGUUCUAGGUCAGUCGAUUUACAGAGUGAGUUCCAUGGCAGCCAGGGCUACAUCAUGAGAUUCUCCCUUGAAAAAAAUAGAGGUUAUUUUUAAAAAUCUGUGCAUCAGGGGCUGGGUGUGGUGGCGCAUGCCUUUAAUCCCAGCACUGGGGAGGCAGAGUCAUUCCUUUUUUUUUUGUCGAGAUGCACAUUUAGAAGAUGAUACUGGGAGUUCAAAACUACUCUAAGCCAUCAUGAGUCUAAAGCCAGAAAGAGGCUGCCUGAGACCUGCUACCUGGUGUCAUCUUCUUACUUCCUACAAUUUAUUAUUAGCGCAAUUUUUGUUUGAUUUGGAGUUUUGAGACUGGAUCUUAAGUAUGUAGCCCCAGGUGACCUUGAGUUUGUGGUCCUUCUUCUCUAGGGCACGUAUUUUGCUGGGCCAGGAUUUCAUGGUGGGUUCCAGCUCUACCCUUUACUGGUGAGACAAUAUGUCAAACCAUAGGAAGGAUGGCCUAGCAUCACAGGUUCCACGCAUAGUGUGU
rnacentral:lncRNA from 1 species